UACAGAGGUCCCAAGCGUUGUUCGGAAUUACUGGGCGUAAAGGCGCGUAGGCGGCCUGUUAAGUCGAACGUGAAAUCCCCGGGCUCAACCCGGGAACUGCGUCCGAUACUGGCAGGCUUGAAUCCGGGAGAGGGAUGCGGAAUUCCAGGUGUAGCGGUGAAAUGCGUAGAUAUCGGAAGGAACACCUGUGGCGAAAGCGGCUCACUGGACCAUUACUGACGCUGAGGCACGAAAGCUAGGG
rnacentral:rRNA from 1 species